rnacentral:rRNA from 1 species
AUCUACAGGCUUAACACAUGCAAGUCGAGGGGCAGCAUUUCAGUUUGCUUGCAAACUGGAGAUGGCGACCGGCGCACGGGUGAGUAACACGUAUCCAACCUGCCGAUAACUCGGGGAUAGCCUUUCGAAAGAAAGAUUAAUACCCGAUGGUAUAAUCAGACCGCAUGGUCUUGUUAUUAAAGAAUUUCGGUUAUCGAUGGGGAUGCGUUCCAUUAGGCAGUUGGUGAGGUAACGGCUCACCAAACCUUCGAUGGAUAGGGGUUCUGAGAGGAAGGUCCCCCACAUUGGAACUGAGACACGGUCCAAACUCCUACGGGAGGCAGCAGUGAGGAAUAUUGGUCAAUGGGCGCAGGCCUGAACCAGCCAAGUAGCGUGAAGGAUGACUGCCCUAUGGGUUGUAAACUUCUUUUAUAUGGGAAUAAAGUUUUCCACGUGUGGAAUUUUGUAUGUACCAUAUGAAUAAGGAUCGGCUAACUCCGUGCCAGCAGCCGCGGUAAUACGGAGGAUCCGAGCGUUAUCCGGAUUUAUUGGGUUUAAAGGGAGCGUGGGUGGACAGUUAAGUCAGUUGUGAAAGUUUGCGGCUCAACCGUAAAAUUGCAGUUGAUACUGGCUGUCUUGAGUACAGUAGAGGUGGGCGGAAUUCGUGGUGUAGCGGUGAAAUGCCUAGAUAUCACGAAGAACUCCGAUUGCGAAGGCAGCUCACUGGACUGCAACUGACACUGAUGCUCGAAAGUGUGGGUAUCAAACAGGAUUAGAUACCCUGGUAGUCCACACAGUAAACGAUGAAUACUCGCUGUUUGCGAUAUACAGUAAGCGGCCAAGCGAAAGCAUUAAGUAUUCCAUCUGGGGAGUACGCCGGCAACGGUGAAACUCAAAGGAAUUGACGGGGGCCCGCACAAGCGGAGGAACAUGUGGUUUAACUCGAUGAUACGCGAGGAACCUUACCCGGGCUUAAAUUGCAUUUGAAUAUAUUGGAAACAGUAUAGCCGUAAGGCAAAUGUGAAGGUGCUGCAUGGUUGUCGUCAGCUCGUGCCGUGAGGUGUCGGCUUAAGUGCCAUAACGAGCGCAACCCUUAUCUUUAGUUACUAACAGGUCAUGCUGAGGACUCUAGAGAGACUGCCGUCGUAAGAUGUGAGGAAGGUGGGGAUGACGUCAAAUCAGCACGGCCCUUACGUCCGGGGCUACACACGUGUUACAAUGGGGGGUACAGAAGGCAGCUACCUGGUGACAGGAUGCUAAUCCCAAAAGCCUCUCUCAGUUCGGAUCGAAGUCUGCAACCCGACUUCGUGAAGCUGGAUUCGCUAGUAAUCGCGCAUCAGCCAUGGCGCGGUGAAUACGUUCCCGGGCCUUGUACACACCGCCCGUCAAGCCCUGAAAGCCGGGGGUACCUGAAGUACGUAACCGCAAGGAGCGUCCUAGGGUAAAACUGGUAAUUGGGGC